AACGAACGCUGGCGGCAGGCCUAACACAUGCAAGUCGAACGCUCGUAGCAAUACGAGAGUGGCAGACGGGUGAGUAACACGUGGGAACCUUCCCUUCGGUCGGGAAUAGCUCAGGGAAACUUGAGGUAAUACCGGAUACGCCUUACGGGAAGAUUAUCGCCGAGGAUGGCCCGCGUCGGAUUAGCUAGUUGGUGAGGUAACGGCUCACCAAGGCGACGAUCCGUAGCUGGUCUGAGAGGAUGAUCAGCCACACUGGGACUGAGACACGGCCCAGACUCCUACGGGAGGCAGCAGUGGGGAAUAUUGGACAAUGGGCGCAAGCCUGAUCCAGCCAUGCCGCGUGAGUGACGAA
rnacentral:rRNA from 1 species